UACGGAGGGUGCGAGCGUUGUCCGGAAUCACUGGGCGUAAAGGGCGCGUAGGCGGCGCGGGAAGUCCGUGGUGAAAGCCCGAGGCUCAACUUCGGGUCGGCCAUGGAUACUCCUGGGCUCGAGCACUGUAGAGGCAGGUGGAAUUCCGGGUGUAGCGGUGGAAUGCGUAGAGAUCCGGAAGAACACCGGUGGCGAAGGCGGCCUGACUGGGGCAGUAGCCGAAAGGCUUGAAAGCUGACGCUGAGGCGACGACAGCGUGGGGAGCAACAGG
rnacentral:rRNA from 1 species